CAAGGAAUUUUCCGCAAUGGGCGAAAGCCUGACGGAGCAACGCCGCGUGCAGGAUGACGCCUUUCGGUGUGUAAACUGCUUUUCGGGGGGACGAAGCACUUACGGUACCCCCGGAGGAAGGCCCGGCUAACUACGUGCCAGCAGCCGCGGUAAUACGUAGGGGCCAAGCGUUGUCCGGAGUUACUGGGCGUAAAGCGUGCGCAGGCGGCUCGUUUCGCCCGACGUGAAAGCCCCCGGCUCAACCGAGGAGGGUCGUCGGGGACGGGCGAGCUUGAGGGUGUCAGGGGCUGGUGGAACUCCCGGUGUAGUGGUGAAAUGCGUAGAGAUCGGGAAGAACACCCGUGGCGAAGGCGGCCAGCUGGGACACAACUGACGCUGAGGCACGAAGGCGUGGGGAGCGAACGGG
rnacentral:rRNA from 1 species